rnacentral:rRNA from 1 species
GGCGGCGUCCCUAAUACAUGCAAGUCGAGCGAACAGACGAGGAGCUUGCUCCUUUGACGUUAGCGGCGGACGGGUGAGUAACACGUGGGUAACCUACCUAUAAGACUGGGAUAACUUCGGGAAACCGGAGCUAAUACCGGAUAAUAUUUCGAACCGCAUGGUUCGAUAGUGAAAGAUGGCUUUGCUAUCACUUAUAGAUGGACCUGCGCCGUAUUAGCUAGUUGGUAAGGUAACGGCUUACCAAGGCAACGAUACGUAGCCGACCUGAGAGGGUGAUCGGCCACACUGGAACUGAGACACGGUCCAGACUCCUACGGGAGGCAGCAGUAGGGAAUCUUCCGCAAUGGGCGAAAGCCUGACGGAGCAACGCCGCGUGAGUGAUGAAGGUCUUCGGAUCGUAAAACUCUGUUAUUAGGGAAGAACAAACGUGUAAGUAACUGUGCACGUCUUGACGGUACCUAAUCAGAAAGCCACGGCUAACUACGUGCCAGCAGCCGCGGUAAUACGUAGGUGGCAAGCGUUAUCCGGAAUUAUUGGGCGUAAAGCGCGCGUAGGCGGUUUUUUAAGUCUGAUGUGAAAGCCCACGGCUCAACCGUGGAGGGUCAUUGGAAACUGGAAAACUUGAGUGCAGAAGAGGAAAGUGGAAUUCCAUGUGUAGCGGUGAAAUGCGCAGAGAUAUGGAGGAACACCAGUGGCGAAGGCGACUUUCUGGUCUGUAACUGACGCUGAUGUGCGAAAGCGUGGGGAUCAAACAGGAUUAGAUACCCUGGUAGUCCACGCCGUAAACGAUGAGUGCUAAGUGUUAGGGGGUUUCCGCCCCUUAGUGCUGCAGCUAACGCAUUAAGCACUCCGCCUGGGGGAGUACGACCGCAAGGUUGAAACUCAAAGGAAUUGACGGGGACCCGCACAGCGGGUGGAGCAUGGUGGAUUAAUUCGAAGCAACGCGAAGAACCUUACCAAAUCUUGACAUCCUUUGACCCUUCUAGAGAUAGAAGUUUCCUUCGGGGGACAAAA